rnacentral:rRNA from 1 species
UACAGAGGUCCCAAGCGUUGUUCGGAUUCACUGGGCGUAAAGGGUGCGUAGGCGGUCGGGUAAGUCUGACGUGAAAUCUUCAAGCUCAACUUGGAAACUGCGUCGGAUACUAUUCGGCUAGAGGAAUGGAGGGGAGACUGGAAUACUUGGUGUAGCAGUGAAAUGCGUAGAUAUCAAGUGGAACACCAGUGGCGAAGGCGGUUACCUGGAGCUUUGCUGACGCUGAUGCGCGAAAGCGUGGGGAGCGAUCCGG